rnacentral:tRNA from 1 species
GCCCCAGUAGCCCAAUGGCAGAGGCAACAGACUUAAAAUCUGCAAAGUGUCGGUUCGAGUCCGACCUGGGGUACCA